CCUACGGGAGGCAGCAGUGAGGAAUAUUGGUCAAUGGACGGGAGCCUGAACCAGCCAAGCCGCGUGAAGGAAGAAGGUACAGCGUAUCGUAAACCUCUUUUGUCAGGGAACAAAGGCGGGGACUAGUCCCCGGAUGAGGGUACCUGAAGAAAAAGCAUCGGCUAACUCCGUGCCAGCAGCCGCGGUAAUACGGAGGAUGCGAGCGUUAUCCGGAUUUAUUGGGUUUAAAGGGUGCGCAGGGGGCCUGUUAAGUCAGCGGGAAAAGCCCGGGGCUCAACCUCGCCGAGCCGUUGAAACUGGCGGGCUGGAGUUGGAGAGAGGUACGCGGAAUGCGUGGUGUAGCGGUGAAAUGCUUAGAUAUCACGAAGAACCCCGAUUGCGAAGGCAGCGCACUGGCUCCACACUGACGCUGAGGCACGAAAGCGUGGGUAUCGAACAGGAUUAGAUACCCCUGUAGUC
rnacentral:rRNA from 1 species